AUAAUCUAUCAUUAUUUGACAUUUUUGAUCUUAUUAAUGAAAUCAUUUAUGAAGAGCACAUGACACAAAGUACAACAAUAACUCAUCAAGGAUGAAAGCAGAUCACUGGAGUUAGUGCAUCACCGGUUUCGUUUACUCAGAAGUACAAGUCUUUCUUGUAAGAUUAGGUGGGUCGUAUCAAGUCAUGCUAGAGGUUUGAAGGAAUGUAAAAACUGCAUUCAGGUAGGUAGGUGUGGUUUUUGUCAAAAUAUGAUUGGCUGACAACCGAUAUAAAGCGAAUCGGAUUUAUUUUCUCUGUGGCAGUCGCCAAGACAAAACAACGGAGGAAACGGUUUUCUGGAGGCGCACAUACAUGAUAUCACUUCUAAGUAUAAAAAAAAAUAUCUUUUGAAGUACAUUUUUCCUAAGCCUAUACAACCCAGUUUUAACAUUUUUCAUUUGAAAAUGUCCAAAAAAUUUUUUUUAAGUGUGUUAAAAUUUUAAAGUCUAUAUCACACCAUUCUAACAUUCUUCAUUUGGAUAAUAGCUCAUACCCGCCUUGGCUUACAAGGGAAAUUAUUGAGAACUGUUUCUAUGAACUAAAAUCUACGAAUGGCCCUGUAGUUUACGAAAGUGGAGAAAUUCGAAAAUAUGAUCCCAGCAUGAGGAAGGUGAUUAGAAGGGAAAUACCAUGCGAAAUAAUUAUUACUGAUGGAGAAAAAAUAACAAAUGGACUUGGCUGUUAUUACGGCUGUGGUCAUGUCCUGACUGCGUUACAUGUUGCUGAAAACGCACGUUUAGAAAAUUCUGAAAUACUCAGUGCUUUCCCUAAUGGAAAACAUACACUGAUCUAUAAGGCUGAAUUUACAAUAUCGUGUAGCACUGACACAGACAGAGAUCAGGGAUUUAUUAAAUUACUUGGUGACACUAGUCCGCUUGGUGAUGGUUUACAAAAUCAGAUUGCUAAAGCCAGUGAAAAUGAAAGUGUAUAUUUUUACACCUUAGAGCCUGAUGGAAAUUUUCAGAAGCAGGAAGGUAAAAUCCUUCAUCCAAAUUCAGACAUGAAGAAAAAAAUGAUUACUGAUGAAUUUAUAACAUCUGUAGCAGGUAUACCUGGAGACAGUGGCUCACCUGUUUACAAUACUAAACAUGAACUGAUUGGUAUAUAUAGAGGUAGCUUUACAUGUCCUGACACUCCUAAAUAUAAAUAUGGCCGCUGUUCAAGAAUUUCUCCACAGUUACCCUGGGUCCGAACAAAUUUGUGUAGUUUUAUAGCAACAACUAUUUUGUGAUAGCGUUUGUAAUACAACCCCUGAUUUAGAGAUGAUCUGCUUCUGUUUGGUUGACAUUAAUUGAUUUUAGUCUAUCUAAUCAAUUUAAUAUUAUAAUGUUUGGCUUAUGGUUCUGUGUGUGCGUGUGUGUGUGUGUGUGUGUGUGUGUGAGUGUGUGUGUGUGUGUGUGUGUCUACGCGUCUGCACUCAACACAUGAGCCAAACUGAGCAACUGGGCCAAGCCUCUGGUUUUUCGGUUUCAUUUUUGUUUUCUGCCAGACUGAGGAAUUAAAGCUAAUGUACAAGCGGAACCCGAGUCUGCUGAGAUUCACCUGCUGACAACAAGCAUUUACCACACUGGAGACAAAAACCUGUGAGAUCAGUACCACCAAAGGUCACAUGUACAUGGUGUCAAAUCGCCUGGCACAGAUCGAACAGCCUCAAGCCAUCUUCUAGGAUGCAAGAGAAGCAGCAUCAGGCCCUCACAGGUCUGCAGCAACAGCAGCAGGAAAUCCUCCAUAAACAUCAUGGAGGAGCAAGCGGCAGACCAACCCACCAUCCAGAGCCUGCUGGCACGAUCCCCUCUAUAAACUCUCUCACUGGUCAGAAUGACACCCCAGGGUGAUGUCGAGGUGUACCUGGAGAUGUUCGAGAGUACCACCUGGGCAUGAGGCUGGCUGAGUGAGGUCUGCACAUUCAAGACCUCCUGAACAGAGACCUGGCUGCUUUCCAGUGGCUCGCAUUGGCUCAUGCAUUGUGUGCACACACACACACACACACACACACACACACACACACACACACACACACACACACACACACACACACACACCACUCAGGCUCAGCUCACUAAGACAGAUGGGGACAGAAAGCUCGGAAAAAGCUGAGUUCUCCAUUAUUUAGAUUUGACCAUUUCUAAGCACAUAGGGCUAAUGGAAUUAUAAACACUAUGCCUGGAAAUCAUAAAAUACGUAAUGUUAAAGACAAGAAAAUGUUUUUAAAAAUUACAUAAAAAUCACCUUCCCAAAACCAGCACAAAAAAUUUAAUAUAAAAAAAUACCCAUAACAUUUAUUAUUAUUAUUAUUAUUAUUAUUAUUAUUAUUAUUAUUAUUAUUAUAUAGUAGGCAGGCAUGUAGUGUAUGAUCCUCUGGAAACCACUUCCUCCAUUUUAUCUGGCGGCUGCCCAGGGUGAGGUGCACAAAAUAAGACAGUAGAUACACUAAAGGAAAGAACAACUCACCCUUGCUGCACUGGAUAGAGGACACCUGGAUACUGUAGAUUUAUACCUACAAAAUGCUGCUGUAAUCAUCAUCGCUGCAGUCAUCACUUCACCUGUGUGCUGUAAUAAGUUAUAAUCACACUAUCCGGUGUCACCCACAAGAGGAUGGGUUCCCUACUGAGUCUGGUUCCUCUCAAGGUUUCCUCCUCAUGUCACCUCAGGGAGGUUUUCCUUGCCAUCGUUGCCUUAAAAGCUUGCUCACUAGGGAUCUAAAUCUACAUCCAGGUUUCUGUAACAAAAUAUCUACUGAACAAGAACAAUAAAAUGAAACGUUGAAAUGAACUGAACUGGUGUGAUGACUAUCUCAUGAUUAAACUCUGGGUCAGAAAGAAUAUAGUUUACUGGAAAUCUAAAAAGCUACAGAUUGAAUUGAAUAGAUUACUGAUGCGUUUAAAAUGGCAUUCCUGAACAGGUAUUUUAAAAUAAUAAUAGUAUUACUAAUAAGCCCAUUUAAAUAAUUAAAAAUCUGAAUAAUUAAUGAAUACCAUUCAGCAGCAUGUAAUGGUAUUUUUAAAUAUUUUUUUAGUGAUGAAAAAUCAUGGCGCCCUGCAGUAUUAAAAAUUGUCCAAUAGAGGGCAGUGUCUACAGUUUAAAAACCAC
ensembl:lncRNA